GUUAUGAUGGAUAAAGAGACAGGUGUUCUGGUGACCUGUAACCCCAUCAGGAGCCCCAAGGGUCACCUCCUGCUAAACCAAACAUAACCUUUAUCAGUGAAGGUCACUCCUGAGAAACCCUGUUGAGAAACCCUGCAGACAGGAAAGCCAAGGAGGCCUCCUCCUUUCCAUUGUCAUUGUCUUUUAAGGGAGCUUGAACAGGUUAGCUCCUACAGACUUCUUUAACUGCCUGGAACACUCUGCUAAUUCUAUUUCCCAUACUCUUCAACUGAGUCAAGAGAAGAAAACAGACAUUUGGAACCCUGAUCCAAUCAAAUUAAUAUUCUGGUGAUCAGAAGCCAAGACUGUACAGAGAUUUCUGAGGCCUCUCCAGGAAUUCUGUCCAGAAUCCAGCUCUGGAGGACUUCAGUGUGCGAGAAUGUACAGUACAUUGGAUGGACUCUGGGGUCUAAGGAAUGAAGUUUGUCCUCAUUAGGACAAAAAGAUACAAGAGGAACGCCCGAGUACAUAUAGAACACAGGGUGCCAUGAUGUGGAGCCUGAAGACAAGGGAGGCUGCUGAACACUCUAAUGCCUGUAUGAGUGAACUUGGACAUGAACAGUGUAGCUGGAUCUGUUUGCCUUCAGUUCAAGCUGCAAUGUUGUCACCAUCUCCUCUUUCAGCCCAUGUAUCCUUGACAAGGUUGUUCUGCCCUUCAAGCUCAUAUGAUGGUUGUGCAUGUAGGAGACCUAGCCUUCUGUCACCAAGGAAACAGAAAGCAGAGGAGGAAUGUGACCGUGGGAGGCUGCAGGCAAAAGUGAUGUGGGGCCAAACUGUACCUGGAAGCUACAUGGUACAAUCCCUGAGGCCCUGUUCAGACCUUCAUUCUAUUCUGGUGUCUUCCUAGUGACAGCCCUGCUAGCCAAUGACAACAACUUCUCCCUGACUCUUCCCCAGCUUUGCUUCCCAGUCGUGAGACUUGAAGAGCACAGAGGAUGGCCUCUGUAGGUCAGUCACUGGCUCUGGACCAUUGACCACUACCACUGCUUUUACUUGGGAUGGUGUUCAAAUUGUGGGAUGUCUGAGAAAGCUGGGUUCCACGUUUUUGCUAUGCAACCUGUUCCUCACGUCCUGGACUUUGCCUGCUCCAGUCCUCAGUUGCCAUUCAGUAAGCAUUGUGACGUGUAAGGCUCUCAGGAGAAGCCAGAUCCCAGUGGCAUUAGUGUGACAAACAAGCUGUGCCCAAGGAGCUGACACUCUGGCAGAGUCCAGGACAUUCAGGAAGACAGAGGUGGUGAGAUAUCACCAACUAUGACUCUGACAUCCAAUGAAGCAGUCGAGGGCCAUGAGGCUUUUCUGACUGAGGCAACACAGCCUGGAGCCCAAAUCCCGAGGCUGUGCACCAAAGUCCUUCCCUGUUUGUCACUGGUGAGCACAGGCUGACCUGAAAGUCUGGACCUGAUCUCUCAGUGAAGGCAAAACCGCUUGACCUCUGAUUUUGAACUGCAAUUGUAGCUAAUGCUGCUAUUGAUUUAAAAAUCUAGUUCAAUAUGUGAAAAAAUACACUCUUCAAUCUCCUGGAACAUUCUGUCUCAGAGAGGACCGUGUCUACACGUCAAAGAAAAGACCAGAUCCUGGUGCUUUCCCACAAGAAGUUGCUCAAUAUGGCUACCAGGCAGGCCAAACAAAAGCCUCUGUCUGCAGACAGGAGGGCACCAACAAUGUGUCAAGAAACCUCAUCUGCAUCGUCACAAGCAUCUGCAGUGUGGAUAUCUGGUCAACAUGGUCUUUUGACAGUUGUGGAGCCCCUCCCACCAAUAAAGCUUUUGUAGGUGAAGAACCUGAAGGAUCAGAGGCUGUGCCAGUACAUGCUGGAGAAAUACUUGACUGGACUCGGGAGUAGGAGCCAAGGCAUUGGCCCACAGAUGUGCUGUUCUCCUUCUUUGGAUACCCGUCGCAACAACACAAUCUUCUCUGUCUACUGGAGUUGUCUUGGUUGUAGAUUUGGAGAUCCUCAAUAUCCCAGCUUAGUUCUCUAAUGUUAAGUCAUAUCGACUCUUAGCAUAGUACGUUAUUUGCCACUGUUCUUUCUACCUUUAUUUUGCCAGAAUUUUCUAUGGGUAAGUUAUUCCAUCUAUAACACUUUAUGAUGUGUAAGCCCACACGAAGGUACCCAGAGCCCAUACACAAUGUGCUCUUAUUUACCUGUGAGAAGUCCAAGCCAGUAAACCAAUCUUAACUCAGUGGUGAGAAGGAACUUAAAACUUAGAACAGGACUUGUUUUCAUUCCUUUCUUGUUAGUAUCAUUCACAACUUCUGUAGAAGUUGGGAGUCCAGAAAGCAAAGGGCGGGACUUUCUCACAUGAUCUUGACCCAUGUUGGGUUUUCUGUCUUCCAUCUCCACCUUUAACAUUUAAUAUACCACAUCUCUCCAAAGGUCAUGCCUAUUCUAGUGUGCUGCACUCAGUGAAGAAGUUGGAGCAAGUGUCAAAAGAGUGAAGGCCAAGCUCUGACUGUAACAGAGAGUUUGAUAUGGAUAAAUGAUGCUUUGAAAAACACGUGACUUUUCGCUGGGACCUCCAUCUACUGUAAAUAACCAACAAUCUGUUCAAGGAUCAAUGUGCCUCUGAGAUGAGGACAACAAGGUAGAAGGGAGUCCUCAGAAGGAAACGGGUCUGAGGGCUAACACCAUAACGCUUCCAAUUCUGUCUUCUAGGCAUCACUAAGAAAUCUAUAUAGUCCUACCUCCCAGAAGAUGAGUGAAGGUGUUACAGUUAGGAUGACUGUUGACAUGAGGCUCUCAGAGGUUCUCCACAAAUCUGAAGGACAAGAUUGAGAUUGCCAUUCUUAUGGUCUUUCCAUAGUCUCCCCUUGCAAUUAGAAUUGACCAUCACUGUGGACCUCAUCUAUUAGAUGAAGGAUAUCUAGAAAGCCUCUGGACAGGCAGCAUGGCAGAAAUCAACUCUUUCCACAAAAAAAGAAGGCUGCUGCUGACACAGUGGAUAGAGCACACACAAGCUCCCUGUCUGACUCCUUCAGCUCUUGCAUAUCCCCUUGGCUAACAUUUCAGAGCUUCUGAUCCUUCAGACAUCAGCUUCUUGAUACUGAAGAGAUUGUUCUACCUGAUGAGCCCAGGCCUAGAAGAUGGACUACAUCCAAGAAGCCUGGCCAAUCUAAGGCCAAGUCACAUCUUUAAGAAAUAUUUGAAAGCAUUUGUGCACGGGAUAAAGGUGCAAGGACCAAAGUCUCCUUAGACAUUCCAGCCUACAGAGGGUCUGACAGACUCAGGUCAAAGGUUACGUCUGAAGCCUAGAUCAUGAAGAAGGCCCCACUCCACAGGAGAAGCCUGUGGCUGAUGCUAUUGCAACUAGGACUAUGAUUGUGAAACUUGUGUCUGUGGAUAGCAGAUUCACGAAUCUUGUGCCCAGGUAUCCACAGGCCUUUUUUCAUACAUUCCUUUGUAUAACUUUGCAAGUCCUGAUUUUGGAAGUGUUGGGUCCUUAUGCUAUCUCACUUGACAUAUAGUCCAAGAAAGAUUUUUACCCCUUUAAGGGGCUGGAAAUAGACUGGACUCACAGUUACCAUUAAAACUGAAGUUCUGUCCUGUGUGGUUAUUGGCCCUUUUAAAACUUGUUUGACUGGG
ensembl:lncRNA